rnacentral:rRNA from 1 species
CGCUGGCGGCACGCCUAACACAUGCAAGUCGAACGCAGUAGCAACACUGAGUGGCAAACGGGUGAGUAUAAUGUGGGAAUCUGCCUUUUGGUUUGGAAUAACACGGGGAAACUUGUGCUAAUACCGGAUAAGCCUUUACGGGGAAAGUUUUAACGCCGAAAGAUGAGCCUGCACUUGAUUAGCUAGUUGGUAAGGUAAAAGCUUACCAAGGCAACGAUCAAUAGCUGUUCUUAGAGGAAGACCAGCCACAUUGGGACUGAGACACGGCCCAGACUCCUACGGGAGGCAGCAGUGGGGAAUCUUGCACAAUGGGGGAAACCCUGAUGCAGCGAUGCCGCGUGAGUGAAGAAGGCCCUUGGGUUGUAAAACUCUUUCGUCGGGGAAGAAAAUGACUGUACCCGAAUAAGAAGGUCCGGCUAACUUCGUGCCAGCAGCCGCGGUAAUACGAAGGGACCUAGCGUAGUUCGGAAUUACUGGGCUUAAAGAGCUCGUAGGUGGUUGAAAAAGUUGAUGGUGAAAU